rnacentral:lncRNA from 1 species
UGGUAGAGGUACAACUGGAGCUAUAGGUGGUGGAGGUACAACUGGAGCUGUAGGUGGUGGAGCUACAACUGGAGCUGUAGGUGGUGGAGCUGGAGUGACUGAAUCUCCAAAAGAUGAAACUGGUAGUACCUCGGAAAUAUCUAAGUGAUGACCUGAACCUGUGAAGUAUGAUUGGGUUUCAAAGAAGGUAACAUCAGCGGACAUAAGGUACCGCUGGAGGUCAGGAGAGUAGCAUCGAUACCCCUUUUGUGUUCUCGAGAAACCCAGAAAUACGCACUUAAGAGCACGAGGAGCUAACUUAUCUGUUCCUGGAGUAAGGUUAUGGACAAAACAAGUGCUUCCAAAGAUACGGGGU